ACACUUUACUCGGGGGAAACACGGAAAACGUUCUGUUUUAAAUUGGGAACACGAUUAUCCAUGAUGAUCAUUGUUAAAAAUGGGUGCCACCCUCGGUGUCAUGUCUUCGAUGCCACAGUUCCCAGUCUGGCGGUCCUAUCCUCAAGCGCUGCGACAAGG